UUCAUUCUUAAUCUUAUCUAACCUGGUGAGCCCGCACAUCCACCUGAACAUCCUCAUCUCUGAACAUGAGAGUUCUUCACUAGCCAGCACUCCGCCCCAUACAACAUGGCACAUGUACUAAUAAAAGUACUAAAAACUAACUAUUUUUUAGGAUCUCAAUGGUUUCAAGAGGUUUUUCAAAAAAAAAAAAAAUCCAGCAAUUAUUUUGUCUUUGAAGAGCAAUUUUAGAGUGCAGCAAAAAAUGAACCCUUUUUUUAAAUUCAAAAUAAUUUUAAACUCCAACUUUAUUGGAGAUGUGUCCAAAAAAAUGACACUUGUUAAAUUGUGAUUAUGCCACUUGACUUCAUUACAUGGUUUUGCUUCUCCUUAUAUAUAACAACAACAACAACAACAACAAAAACAACCAGUAUAAUCCCACUUAGUGAGGUCUGGGGAGGGUAGUAUAUACGCAGACCUUACCCCUACCCUUGGGUAGAGAGGCUGUUUCC
rnacentral:lncRNA from 1 species